rnacentral:rRNA from 1 species
CCUACGGGAGGCAGCAGUGAGGAAUAUUGGUCAAUGGACGAGAGUCUGAACCAGCCAAGUAGCGUGAAGGAUGACUGCCCUAUGGGUUGUAAACUUCUUUUAUAAAGGAAUAAAACGAGGCACGUGUGCCUUUUUGCAUGUACUUUAUGAAUAAGGAUCGGCUAACUCCGUGCCAGCAGCCGCGGUAAUACGGAGGAUCCGAGCGUUAUCCGGAUUUAUUGGGUGUAAAGGGAGCGUAGAUGGGUUGUUAAGUCAGUUGUGAAAGUUUGCGGCUCAACCGGAAAAUUGCAAUUGAUACUGGCAGUCUUGAGUACAGUUGAGGUAGGCGGAAUUCGUGGUGUAGCGGUGAAAUGCUUAGAUAUCGCGAAGAACUCCGAUUGCGAAGGCAGCUUACUAAACUGCCACUGACAUUGAUGCUCGAAAGUGUGGGGAUCAAACAGGAUUAGAUACCCCAGUAGUC